rnacentral:piRNA from 1 species
UAGUUAAUGAACUUACAAUUCUGUCUAGC